GAAGAAAAGGGUCCAUACGUAUAUUUUAGUCUCAUCUAAACAAAAAUAUUUCUUACGAGGAACUUGUAGCCACGACGAAGGUAGGAAUUAUUCUUUUGUGCUGAAGUAAAAUCAUGAGGAACGGUAGGUUAUGCCCACGUUGGUUUGCUCCGAAUAAUAGAAAAUCAGAGUUUUCUUCAAAGUAAAGUAAAGUGGGAGAAGAUCAUUUCUCGGAAUAUAAGACCUGCGAGCUCGAGAAGCAGACGUUGGACAUUAGAUAGAGUUUAAGGUAGACAGGGAGGUGAGCUUGCUCCAGACCCUUAGUAGCUGUCAGCUGAUUGAGAGCACUCCAUUGUCCGGAGGUGCUUAUGAUUCUUCUUUUGGUAUAUAAGCAUAUUUUGGGCACGACGGAGUCUUGUUCCGUCUAUAUGUUUAGUAUGUCAGUAGAGGCUCGUAGAUACGCAGUGUGGGUCAGAUGGUCUCACAAGAUGUUAUUAUUAUGUAUAUAUUAUUUUGAUGGCCGAGAGGCAAAUGUAUAUAAGUAUUUAUGUUUCUAUAUAAAAUAUGAUUUUC